GGAGGAAAGUAGGGGAUCGCAAGACCUUGCGCUUUUAGAGCGGCCGAUGCCUGAUUAGCUAGUUGGUGAGGUAAAGGCUUACCAAGGCUUCGAUCAGUAGCUGGUCUGAGAGGACGACCAGCCACACUGGGACUGAGACACGGCCCAGACUCCUACGGGAGGCAGCAGUGGGGAAUUUUGGACAAUGGGGGAAACCCUGAUCCAGCCAUGCCGCGUGAGUGAAGAAGGCCUUCGGGUUGUAAAGCUCUUUCAGCCGGAACGAAACGGUCACGGCUAAUACCUGUGAUCACUGACGGUACCGGAAGAAGAAGCACCGGCUAACUACGUGCCAGCAGCCGCGGUAAUACGUAGGGUGCGAGCGUUAAUCGGAAUUACUGGGCGUAAAGCGUGCGCAGGCGGUUUUGUAAGUCAGAUGUGAAAUCCCCGGGCUUAACCUGGGAACUGCGUUUGAAACUACAAAGCUAG
rnacentral:rRNA from 1 species